rnacentral:rRNA from 1 species
GAUGAACGCUGGCGGCGUGCCUAAUACAUGCAAGUCGAGCGAACAGACGAGGAGCUUGCUCCUCUGACGUUAGCGGCGGACGGGUGAGUAACACGUGGAUAACCUACCUAUAAGACUGGGAUAACUUCGGGAAACCGGAGCUAAUACCGGAUAAUAUAUUGAACCGCAUGGUUCAAUAGUGAAAGACGGUUUUGCUGUCACUUAUAGAUUGAUCCGCGCCGCAUUAGCUAGUUGGUAAGGUAACGGCUUACCAAGGCAACGAUGCGUAGCCGACCUGAGAGGGAGAUCGGCCACACGGGAACUGAGACUCGGUCCCGACUCCUACGGGGGGCAGCAGUAGGGAAUCCUCCGCAAUGGGCGAAAGCCUGACGGAGCAACGCCGCGUGAGGGAUGAAGGUCUUCGGAUCGUAAAACUCUGUUAUUAGGGAAGAACAAAUGUGUAAGUAACUAUGCACGUCUUGACGGUACCUAAACAGAAAGCCACGGCUAACUACGUG